CCCUUAGAUGUCCUGGGCCGCACGCGUGCUACACUGACGCCUACAGCGAGCACUUUCCAGCCCCGAGAGACGGCUGGUAAUCAGCAAUAGGCGUCGUGAUGGGGAUAGAUCUUUGGAAUUAUGGAUCUUGAACGAGGAAUGCCUAGUAAGCGCAGGUCAUUAGCCUGCGCUGAUUAAGUCCCUGCCCUUUGUACACACCGCCCGUCGCUCCUACCGAUUUCGAGUGGUCCGGUGAAUCUUUCGGACUGCGCGCGGCCUUGAGUCGUGUCGCGGAAAGUCAGGUAAACCUUAUCACUUAGAGGAAGGAGAAGUCGUAACA
rnacentral:rRNA from 1 species